GACGAACGCUGGCGGCGUGCUUAACACAUGCCAGUCGAACGGAAAGGCCCUGCUUUUGUGGGGUGCUCGAGUGGCGAACGGGUGAGUAACACGUGAGUAACCUGCCCUUGACUUUGGGAUAACUUCAGGAAACUGGGGCUAAUACCGGAUAGGAGCUCCUGCUGCAUGGUGGGGGUUGGAAAGUUUCGGCGGUUGGGGAUGGACUCGGGGCUUAUCAGCUUGUUGGUGGGGUAGUGGCUUACCAAGGCUUUGACGGGUAGCCGGCCUGAGAGGGUGACCGGCCACAUUGGGACUGAGAUACGGCCCAGACUCCUACGGGAGGCAGCAGUGGGGAAUAUUGCACAAUGGGCGGAAGCCUGAUGCAGCAACGCCGCGUGCGGGAUGACGGCCUUCGGGUUGUAAACCGCUUUCGCCUGUGACGAAGCGUGAGUGACGGUAAUGGGUAAAGAAGCACCGGCUAACUACGUG
rnacentral:rRNA from 1 species